GAUGAACGCUGGCGGCAUGCCUAAUACAUGCAAGUCGAGCGAACAGAUGAGGAGCUUGCUCCUCUGACGUUAGCGGCGGACGGGUGAGUAACACGUGGAUAACCUACCUAUAAGACUGGGAUAACUUCGGGAAACCGGAGCUAAUACCGGAUAAUAUAUUGAACCGCAUGGUUCAAUAGUGAAAGACGGUUUUGCUAUCACUUAUAGAUGGAUCCGCGCCGCAUUAGCUAGUUGGUAAGGUAACGGCUUACCAAGGCAACGAUGCGUAGCCGACCUGAGAGGGUGAUCGGCCACACUGGAACUGAGACACGGUCCAGACUCCUACGGGAGGCAGCAGUAGGGAAUCUUCCGCAAUGGGCGAAAGCCUGACGGAGCAACGCCGCGUGAGUGAUGAAGGUCUUCGGAUCGUAAAACUCUGUUAUUAGGGAAGAACAAAUGUGUAAGUAACUAUGCACGUCUUGACGGUACCUAAUCAGAAAGCCACGGCUAACUACGUG
rnacentral:rRNA from 1 species